GGAGUUGUAGCUCAGUAGUAGAGUGGUUGCCUAGCAUGCAUGAGGCACUGAGUUCAAUCCUCAGCACCA
rnacentral:tRNA from 1 species